rnacentral:rRNA from 1 species
AGAGAGAGACAUGCGCGCAUAUCAAUAAGCGGAGGAAAAGAAACUAACAAGGAUUCCCUUAGUAACGGCGAGUGAAGCGGGAAGAGCUCAAAUUUGAAAUCUUCAAGGUUUUACCUUGACGAAUUGUAGUUUAAAGAAGUGUUUUCUGCUGAAGUUUUGGUAAAAGUUCUUUGGAAUAGGACAUCAUAGAGGGUGAGAAUCCCGUAUUUGACCAUUAUUUUCAGCUUUGUGAUACACUUUCAAAGAGUCGGAUUGUUUGGGAAUGCAGUCCAAAAUGGGUGGUAAAUUUCAUCUAAAGCUAAAUAUUGGCGAGAGACCGAUAGCGAACAAGUACCGUGAGGGAAAGAUGAAAAGAACUUUGAAAAGAGAGUUAAACAGUACGUGAAAUUGUCAAAAGGGAAGCGUUUGACACCAGUGUUGUUUUCUCGAAAAUCAAUUAAAAAUGGCUCGAUUUUGUAUUGCUUGAGACCUUAAAAGCUCACUGUACAUUUUUCGUGUCUUUUUUAAUGCACUUUUCGUUUAACAAGUCAACAUCAGUUUCUUUUGUUGUAAAAGGGUCAUUGGAAGGUGGCUUUCUUUUCGGAGAAAGUGUUUAUAGCCUUUGGCCUCUGCAAUCGGAAGAGACUGAGGUCUGCAGCGUAGACUCUUCGGGGUUAGAUACAUUUGUGCUAAGUUAUAGCUUUUUAUAGACAACUUGUUGACUAUAAUUAGUCUUGUAGCUUACUACGCUUAUGCUAUUUUACCUACGCUUAGGAUGUUGAGUCGUAGAGCACGCAG